rnacentral:lncRNA from 1 species
CGUGAAGUCAGUUGUAAGCUAAAAGCCGCGGCGCCGUCCACAGCAGGAAAAAGAGACGGAAGAGACGAGGAGGAGAUGAAAAGACAAGUUUGGAGACCAAGCUGGAGCUGCACCCCCUCUGGUAUUACUUCUAUCCAGGACAACAAGCCCCACCUGGGGUUUACGUAACACACAAACACACACACGCUUCCUCGCAUCACACACACACACACACACACACACACAUACACCAUCUUACUUACUUAUCGUAAUUUUUUUCACAAUUUCUUCCGUAUGAUUCUUUUUUUUCUGCCCAUUUUGUCUUUCUCUUUGCAUAAUGUGCAUAGAGGAGAGUGGCAGUCAGCUGCUGUUUAGCCUGGAG